AUAAGUCUCCGUCAAGCAGCCAAAUGCGAGGCAAGCUUGCUUGCAGGAGCAUUCGGCUAUUUGACGGGACAACAGGUAUGAACAUGAAGCGCUGCUGCUUUUUGCAGCGUGGAAUGCGAAUACCUGUCAGCGCUGUGGAAGCUUCGAAGAAGCGAAGCAGCGCGGGGACCGAU
rnacentral:sRNA from 1 species